rnacentral:lncRNA from 7 species
CUGACUGCAUUGAAUUUAUUUUGCUUUAACUGAGAGCUUUAAAUGCUUUUCUAGCUUGACAUUGAGUGUGAUAGAGGAAAACCAGUGACCAUUACAGGGCAUGCUUGAAAUACAUUUAACUUUCUAACAAGUCUAGAAAAGAUUAACCCAGAUGAAAAUGUUUCUGAAAACAAAUACCUCUGACAAAGAUUCUUUACACCGUAGGUCAGCAGGUAGUAAAAUACCUAUUAGAAAAUCUGAUGAGCAUUUCUUAGUCAAAUAACUACUGUGUCCUUCUUUAAGGAGUAGAUAAGACACAGUAUCGGCAGUGUAGUUCCUGUAGGUCAUACCCAAAUUUACUUUUGAUGUUUGUAUACAAAUAUUGGUUGCAAAGGGUCAAGCAUAAGUUUUAACAACAAUCUGGAUUGUGAAUCACUCUUGUGAGCUCUUCCAUCCCAAGAUGCUGAAAAUGAAAGUCUUUAAACUUGCAUCCUUUCUUACGCCUGCUCAAGAACAUUCCACAGCUCUAAGGAAUAUCAUUCCAAGUGCAGAGCACAGAUGCUGGGCCAUGGCAGUAUGCAGAGAUUCCCUACUGAGUUUCUGCAGGAUCUUAGAGAGCCCCAGAUAGCCAGGGAAAAUUGUUAAGAGGUCAAGGACUGUAGAGCAGCCAAACAUCUGAUCUGGCAUUAAACAUGACUUUGGAGGAAGAAACUAUCCCUCUUAUGGUAAGUAUAACCUGAUUCUGUAAACAGUUGUUUAUUCUGUAACUUUCACAGUGAAAACCAUUGCUGUAGGAGUUUUGGUUCCAGAAUCAGUCUCCAGUCUGUUCAUCCACUACCACCAAAAAAUUUUCCUAACGGAAAGCAAGAUGUGCAUUUCUCUAUAGGACAAAGAUGUAGCUGGGAAGAGGGAAUUCGGGAGUUGUCAGAUUCUUGUAGUUAAACCUUUUUCUCCUCCAAAUUAUAACAUAGUAGAACCAUAGAAUGGCUUGAGUUGAA